rnacentral:misc_RNA from 1 species
CUGCGGCAUGUGAGUUCUUGUGUCGCGUGCUCUAUACAGCUCAGCUUUAUUGGUAUGGCAGAUCGCAGAAGUUCGGCAAACGCUCAUACUCACACGCACGGACUGAAAGCCCCGACCCCCCCCCCACCACCACCACCACCAACUCCACCCCACGCAGGCACACGCUCGAACCAGGAGACGAAGAACACGCGUUUAGCGGUCUACCACAUCACAACGCUUCUUCUCCGGCUCCCGCAUCCAGCCGCGCACGCGCUGCAUAAAGAGAGCUCCACAUCAUUUUGUGUAUGUGUGUGUGUGCUUCUUCUCACUUGCAGCGCUGCACCUUCUCCUCCCUUUGUGUUCCCUCGCGGCCCUCCUCAUCCCCCAUUCUCCUCCCCACCACCACCACCGCCACCACCACCAUCCUCCAUCCCUUACGCGCGGACAUAUAUAGAUAGAGACCGACUCGCAUCACCCGCAUCCUCUGCGACCACAAGAUGGUGGAUGCGCACCGUGCGGGCAAUGCUGCACGAGCUCGUCGUCAACGGAUCGUGGAGCGCCAGCGUGCGCCGCCGCUGACCGUGUCGGCCACGUCGCCGCUCACCGAAUCCCUCACAAUUCUCUCCUAUGUCAUCGUCUUUUCUCUCUACUUUGCCGGGUUCGCCGUUAUGGUGCUCGCCGUGGUGCACCGUCGGCGUGCGGUGCGACGUGUCCGCACGCAGAGAAAGCAGCUAUCCCCUCCGCCGGCCUUCCUCAUAGCAGCAAACAGCGAGGAAGCGUGCGCUAUGACGAGCAUGAUGAGUAAUGCAUCGCCGGCGCGGGCUGAGGAAACCUCGAAAGCCACUCCUACAGCCGCUCGGGGAAGCCUGCAGAUGAGCGAUCUGACAGUGUACCGCCUCAGGAAGCUGCAGAACUGCGUGGAGAGCGACCAGGAUGACGGGGAGCAAAACGCGCAGGGCGUACGCGGCGAAACCGCCACAGCAGAGGCGGUUUCAGUCUUGGGCAGGACACCGCUGCGGUUAUGCGCGCACCGGUGUGGCGCGACAAGCAGCGGCGGCAGCAGCAGUGCGGACACAAAAAGAAGGCUCUCCGACUCCGUAGACAGCACGGCCUUAGCGGCGCUGAAGAUGUCGGCUGUGGCCAAGUUGCUUCCGCUGGGGGAUCAGGAGCUGACUGCCGCCGCUGACGAGAAGAGUGACAUGUCGUUGACGCGCAAAAUGAAAGCCGACCCGGUGCGCGCCAUGAGAUCUCUCUCGCUGUCCCCUGCCGCGUCCUGGCGCCCGUGUGCGGCCAGCGAUGCAUGUGCAACAGUUCAAGCUCCUCGUCGCCAUCGUGGUGGUCACCGUCGUCGGGAGCGCUGCUCUGACGGCCGCGGAAGCUGCGGUGAUGUAACCGCCAUCACCGCAGCGGCUCAUGUCGCCGAUACGGCAACCUGGUUCGCUCCAUCGUCUGGGUCGUCGACGUCUCUCUCCUCAGAGUCGUCAUCCGCAUCAACGACAGGCAACGGAGCCGCCGCCAACACCGCCACAGCAGCAGUAGCGGCGAAGACGCGUCCGUCAACUUCUCCCGUGCUCGUGACGUACGUGCCGCUGCGUCAGGUUCGCUCCAGCCCUACCCCCGUACUCCCAGGGUAUCCGUCGAUCCUAGACACGGGCCUUGAGUACGAAACGGAUGCCGAAGUCGAUGCAGCGGAUGUGUUUGUUGCGGUGAAAGCGGCACCGAUGCCGCUGGAUCCGCGCUCGCCGAUGACGAUGAACGCCGCCGACACCGCUGCUGCGGCCCCCGUCAACAGCCACGGAUCCUCUGUACUGCUCGCGCUCGCCGAUGCCGAGAGGGGCGUGAGCCGUGCGUCACAGCAGACGCCGGCAGAUGACGCUAGCGGCAUGCACUACCACGAUAUGAGACAUCGCAAUAGCAGUGACGAUACUUACAACCACCCUCAGCGGCAAAAGUCGCGCCUGGUGCCGCUGCUUCCUUCUUUUUUCCCUGGAUCGUCAGCUCCCCCUUCACCAGCAGCCCCGCCGCUGCGGUGCGAGUACACGGGGUAGUGCAGCGCCUCCCACGCCCUCCCUCCACUUUCAUGGAUGCCGUCGCCCUCGUCGUCUUGGGCCUCUGUGUCAGCGUUGGCGUCGAUGCCGCCCUCCAACGUUCGUGCAAGCGACCACCCCCAUUGCGCCUGCCUAGGGUGAUUCGACAACCGAAGCGGCGAAGGGUGCUGCUCUCGUUAUGCCUUGGGAUGCUGAAGGAGCGAAACGCGCCAUGCUUUGCAGCGCCUGCCGGAUGCCGUCAUCACUGGUGUGGCCCUAUCCAGCAGCGACCAUACGGCGUGGUCCUCCCUCGUAGCGGUUGCACUAAACGCCGCGCGGCCGUCAUGGCGUGUCUGUUACCGCGGAUAUGACGCUCUCAGCCCCGUGCAGGCAGUGCUGGCAUGUAUCGAGGGCGCGAUCAUCGAGUGCGUCGUGUGUGGUGCCAUCUGCGGGGGGAGACAUGAAUCCGAUGCCGUUCACCACAUGACGCUCUCGCUUGCGUCGGAAGAGUCCGGCAGCGCCGAUGCAGGAGCGGUGCAAGAGGUGCGAUACAGCUCUUGCGCGUUCGAUGUCCUUCGUUGCGGCAGCCUAGCUGAGUCGAACUCCACGAGAGCCGAGCGCGACUAUCAUAUCCGCAGCGGCAAUGAACGCGAAGAGGACGGCGGCUCGCAGCCGCCGUCCACGCAGAUCCGUGCCUUUUCGGCAGUAUUGUGCUCGAUGGGCAGCGGCACCGCCACAACGCACAGUAACCACGCAUGCACUGACUCGCUGAGGUGGAGGGUGGGCAUCCCGUUGAUGGUGUGCUCUUCGAAGAACCUGUCGUCGCAUCCGCACACAUGAGCAGAGGAGCGCGCUUCGAGGGAGCUCCGCCUCCCAUUCUCCGCGUAGCUGGGUCUCGUAUCGCACCUCUCUCUCUCCCCCUACUAGCUGCCUCGGUGCAGUAAUGCAUGGAAUCUUCCUUUGUGGUUGAUGGUGGCUGACGGCCCCCUUUUCGUUGUUUUUGUUGGUUCCCCCUCCCCCUCCUUCGCUCUUUCCAGCCCGCCGUGUGUGCAUACUCUAGAGUUCUCGAUCUCUCGUUCUCGCGUGUCCCGAUGUUGACUGGGGGUGCGUGAGCACGCAAAUUCCAAUACCUGCCCACCCGUGCAUGCGCUGAGGCAAAUGUGGGUAGAUAUAUCAGAAGUGCGUGCAUGACCGCACGCACGCGUAGGCUGAUCCGCCACCGCGUCGUGACGUCGCCAUCUUCGUCUCCGUCAGUGUCACUGUAGAUGCUGUUGGCUUCUUGGUUGCGGGGGACUCAGAGGAAGGGGGUGAGUAUAGACGGUAUCGUUGGUCUGCUUGGGUACUUGCUGUCGGUGUGUAUGCCCGGGUUGUCAUCUCCUCCGUCUCUUUCUUCUUUUUGUUGUUGUUCGUCAGUGUCCAACUAAGCAGUAAAUGUAAAUACACAUAUGUAUGUCUUCAAAAGGGGUGUGGCGGCGGCCAUGCUCGAGAACGAAAGUGAUGGGCAGCCCCCUCCUCCCUCCCCCUUCGCUCUCCCCUUCCACACACACACGCUCUCUGCAGCUCCGUCGGCGUGGAGGAGGAGGGAGGGGUGGUCCUGGGGGACGGCGCACACGCCCGCCUAUACAUCUUACGUCUCUCUGCUCCCUGUCAACACCUCUCCACGCCUCCAGCUCUAAGAUGUCGUUGUUGUUUUUGUGUUGUUGUUCGCAAGCAGUGCACACGCGCACGUCUUCCUUGCUCAUUUUUUUUUUGGCUUGUUCGGGGCCCUUUCUUUACGGAACAGCAGAGGAAGGCGUACCAGAGCGGGAAACGGCAGAGGAAGCCCACGUGUGUGUGUGUGUGUGUGUGUGUGCGCGCGCACGCGCACACAUCUAUAUUAUAUAUCAUAUAUAUAUAUAUAUAUAUAUAUAUAUAUAUAAGGGGGCAAAACAUCGUACGCACGCAUGAGCACACACACACACAGAUGUACUAAACGCACAUUUAGGUAUACGUAAAGCAGUAUAGAGAAAGACAUAUGCGAGCAGAAUAUAACAAAAAGGGCGCUUCCCCUCUUUCCCUCCCCUCUCCCCUUCUUUAUAUCAGGCACGGCACUUUUUCUUUCUUCGGUGUGGCCGUGUAUUUAUUUGCUCGUGUGGACCGUGGGUAUGCGUGUGUGCGUUUCUGUGCACGUCUAGCCAUCUCUUUACUCUCCCUCGCUCGCUCUCCCUUAUCUUUUUUCAUAGUUGAGCGAUAGAAUGAGAAAGGGGAGGCGACUGCGACUGUGCAAUUCGUCGUUGUCUGUGUGCCUCCAUUCAUUUCAGUCUAGUGUGUGUGUGUGUGUGUGUGUGUACGGAUGUGGAGGUUGGAGAAGGUGCUUCUCGCGAUGUUUUCUUUUUUUUUGUCUUUCCGUUGUAACGGUGGGGUGUCGCGCGAUAAGGCCUCAUUUUCUCCUCUGUGUGUGUGUGUGUGUGUGUGUGUGUUUUGCGGACGUAUGAAGCACCUAUGCUCCACCUUCUCGUUAUUUGAGCAUCCGUGCACGUCUUCUCCCUUUCAUCCUUUACAUGGGUCACCCUCUUCUAGGCAACCACGUCUACCUCUUUGUCUCUCCUCCUCUUCCUCCUUCUCCCUUCCACACAAGCACACGCUCACGAUCGGAGGCGGCAAAAAAAAAAAAUAAAAGGGAAAACGAGUAAGAUGAGCUGACAACACAAACGUGAUCUAAAACGCUUCCGCGAUGGAACGAGUGAGCGAUAGAUGUUAGGUUCCAUGUACAUCUGUGUGUGUGUAUGUGUAUGUGCGCAUCAACGCGAAGGGUGCCGCAUAAGCCCGCUCGCGCGCAAGCUCACUGCCGUCGAUGCUCGACAUGAUGAUUUGCCUUUGUGUUUUUGAGUUCUUGUUUUUGUUUUUACUUCCCUCCUUCCCUCUUGUCGCUCGUAUUUUUGAAGGGUAUAUGUGUGCUCCGUCCUCCCGGCGUUUCGCUACUGUAAUCACCCAUUCUGUGCCACCAUCUUCUCACAGCACCACAGCAGCUUGCUGAUCUCUAUCUGUUUCGACCUUCCCCCCCCCCUUCCAUCUCGCCUUCUAGCACUGCUGCCGCGCCUCUUCUUCAUUUUCCGCUUGUGGUUGCCCCGCUCUAUCUUUUUUCCUGUGGGACGCUUGUGUGGGAGCGGAGGAAAGGGGAGGCCUGCUCGUUCUUCUCCGUGUCUUCUUCCCUCGCCCUCCCCCAUACUCCGUAUAUCUGUGAUUCUCCUUGAUGUAUAAAAGUAUCAGCAUGUGGUUGAGUGUGUGUGUGUGUGUGCUUGAUUGACGUUGACGACCGCGUAUUCGGAUGCAGAGCUGACUUAGGACGCCGUGGAAAGGCAGUGGGGGUGCGAGGGGAGGCCCGCGUCUUUGUACUCACCACCACCUCCUCCUCUCCUCUUACGCUCAGUUUCGCUAGAUACUUUCCGUCGUUUUUUUUUUCUGUCGUUGUUUGCGCGGUUGCACACAUACAGGUGCUCGCUCUCAGGUAACACGGAAUGCCUCCACGUGACCUCCUCCUUCGUCCCUCCCCCAACACCAGCCCUUCCUCCUGCUCCUCUCCCGAAUCGCCGUACACCUUUUCAUUUCGGGGGGGGGGGGGGGGGGGGGGCUUCUGUUUCUUUGCCUGCGCCUUAUUGCUUGCUCAGACAACUUACUGAGGUCCACCCAACUACCCAUCCCCGCACGCCCUUUCUCUUGGCUCUGCGUGUACUUCUAGCACUAUAUUUGCCCAGCCGACCCCGCCGCUCUCUCCCUCCCUCCCACCGCCCUUCUCACGCUUUCUUCCAGUUUCAUUCUCAUACCCCCUCGACAGCUAUACUUACUCUCACCCGUACACGCUCGACGCACACGCACACGCGAAACGAUUAUCCUCAUGGGCAGCGCAGAAGUGGCAGAUAUGCCACAAGAGGCAGAUGUAGCCACCUGAUCACUUCUCUCUCCUUUCCUUUUUUUUUCAUGCGAUCCUCCCCCCCCCCGGUUACGUCUCUAUUUUUUCCCUCUCGGUGUCUUCGACGUGCUUUUUCUUCCCUUUCCGAGGGAGGGAAGGGGGGCGCAUCUCUGUGCCCAUAUCGGCGUGUCUGCGCAUGCAUGUAUCGCUCGAUGAACACGCAUACACAUGCAUGUAUGCAUACACGUAUGUUUCUCUGUCUACGGUUUACCGGUAUUUGGUUAUGAGCUGCUCUUUAUUUGCGUGAGGAGGGGAUUAUGUGGAGCGGUGUGGACUUCUUUUUGUUGUUGUUGUUCUGCCGGGCCCGCAAAGUCUUUGCUGCGUCCACCCCGGCCCCCUUCGCCAUCAGCUCAGCGUUGACGCCUAGACGUGCGGUUGAGGCGACGGGUGGAGGGGCGGAGGAGGGGGCGCAGUGGUUUUUCUGUUGUUUUCUUUGGCGCUCACUCCUCCUUUUUUGUGUUUGUUCCGCGUGUACGUGGUAUGUCCUCCUCUGCCGCUCAUCGUCAUGUGUCUAUGUAUGCCUGUCUUGCUCCCUCGCUAUGGCGACAUGACGUGCUGCUGUGACGUAUCCGCUCGUAUGUGCAUCUCUCUUUCUCCACUUGGUGGCAAACCCUCAAUUCUAUAUAUAUAUAUAUGUGUGUGUGCGUGUGUGUGUGUGUGUGGUGUCAGGUUUUCGUUUUUCCUUCCACUCUCUCUCUCCCUCUUUCUCUCUCACUGCCCCUUCCCUCUCCCUUCCCGCCCCGCCUGCGUGGGUGUGCGUGUCCGUGAGCCGAUUCCGACAGCAGCCGGCAUCCUUCCCUUGCCCUCAUCCGUGCAAGCACACACACGCACACGCACACGCACACGAUGCAGAGGAAGCGAUAUCAAAGUGAACAUGUUUGGGUGGAAAAGAAGACGCCAAGCCGAGCAGAGCACAAAAAAAAAAAACAGGCUGGAGUUGUGUGUGUGUGUGUGUGUGUGCUUGCACGGUGACACUCUCUCUCUCUCUUUGGUGUAUAUUCUCAUUUUUUCAUCUGUUAUUUUUUUUUUGCCCCCCCCCCCGCCUCCGCUUUCCUCCUCUCCAUCUUUCUCAACCCUCUCAACAUCCUUCUUCUCCUUCUCCCAUGCAUACAUAAACUCCGUGCGUGUGAGUUGUGCCUGAGUUUUGUUCUUGUUUCUAUUCAUAUAUUGGUCGUUGCCUGCUCGCGUAUACCCCCUCCCUCCCUCCUCUCUCUCUCCGCAUGUCGAAGCCGUUGGCAAGCGGCCCAUCAUACGUGUGUACCUCUCUCGCUUUUUGUGUAUGUGGGGGGGGGGGGGUAUAUAUGCGCAGCGGAAGGAAAGAAGAGGUAUGAGGACUCGACUCCGCAGUGCAGCAGCAGAGGCGGUUCGGUGCGCGUGUUUGUCUUUGCAGCCAAGCAUCUGUGUUAUGGGGGAGAGGGGGUCGACUCUUGUCGCCCCUUCCUACCCCAGGUUCCCGGUGCGAUCUGCCCUGCUUCGGUUCUAUCGCCACUAUGAACUUGCCCCUUCACGCCCAGCUGCAGGAAAGGCCGACGAG